rnacentral:lncRNA from 1 species
GUCUGUGGGAGCACCCAGGAGAAAACCGUGUUCAGGCUGGAGGCAAUGCUGGAGAGGACGGCCGGGGUACAGAGCAAGGAGGCGGCCUUGGAAGAGGAGGCGGUGCUGAAGGUGGAAGACAUCAUGGCUGAGGUGGAGGUGGUGGUUGAGGUGGAGCCCGACGUGGGGUGGCAGAAGGAGGGCCAGCGGGCACAGCCUGGCCCUGGACCGAGCACACCGGGGCCGUCAAUGGACUCGCUGGAGGUCCUUCACUUGGAGCUGGGCUCCGUGAAUGCCCCAGGCCACAGAGCAUGCUCACCCCAGAAACACAAGCCAGACAGAGAUAGAGGGCCAACAAUGAAAUUGCAAGGCGUCACGAGGCUUGCCCACCCAAUCCUCUGGAGAGUUCUUGCGCAGAGACACGAGAUGUCGGCGUGGGUCGGAAAGCAUGCGGAAGUCCUGCUUUGCUACGUGAUGGAUUUGCAGGUGGAGGAACUCAGCCAUCCCGGUUACCGGUGGCAGAUGAUUUCCUUUCAUCCCAACCUUUAUUUCCACAGUGAAAUCAUCAUGAAGGAGCACUGUGUUGGCAUCCUCGGCUACAGGGUGUCUCAUUCCACUGCAGUCCAGCGGUUCUGGGAUCACGAAGGUCAAGCCUCCAGCUGCAGGCAGUACACCUCCUACCUGAGCUCAUUCAGCUGUUUGGCUGAACAUGACUGCCCGGGUUUUGGCAGGAUUGCUGAGAUCAUCAGCCAGGGCCUAUGGCUCAAUCCAUUGCAGUUCUAU